rnacentral:lncRNA from 1 species
AUGACUUUCUCUUUUAGCUCUCUGCCGUCCUCUACCAGUCACUUUCCACAGAGAUCCAAUGGCAGCUCUGGAGACCCUCCUGACCUUGGGGUUUGAACGCGUUCUGACCAGUGGGUGUGACAGUUCAGCACUGGAAGGACUGCCUCUCAUAAAGCAGCUCACAGACCAGGCAAAAGGCAGGAUUGUGGUAAUGCCAGGAGGUGGGAUAACAGUUAAAAAUCUGCAAAGGAUCCUUGAGGGUUCUGGAGCUACAGAAUUCCACUGUUCUGCCCGAUCUUCUAGAGACUCAGGAAUGAAGUUUCGAAAUUCCUCUGUUGCAAUGGGAGCUUCACUUGCUCAUUCAGAAUAUUCUCUAAAGGUAACAGAUGUGACAAAAGUAAGGACUUUGAAUGCUAUUGCAAAGGAUGUCCUAGUUUAGUUAAACUUGUCUGAGAGACAUGGGUAUCGCAGUGUGAAAGAAGCAGUUGGAUCGACAAUCUCUAUGACAGCACCAACCUUCCACAUGGCCGUGGGUGUUUCUAAGAAGAAAAAGACAUCGGACAGCAAUGUGAUCACUUUCUUUGGUAGUCAUUGCUGUCUGCCAUCAUGGGUGAAUUUAGUCUGUGCUUCUUCCACAAGGGCAGGCUUAGCUUUCAGUGGGCUUAACUAAUGAACUGGCAGUGUUCAGCUGCAAGGCAUGAAACCAGAGUCUGCUUCAGGGUUGAUUUAGUGCCACUUUUGUGCCUUUUUGUUUUGUAAAAUAAAAAUUCUC